rnacentral:rRNA from 1 species
GCUUAACGCGAAGAACCUUACCAGGGCUUGACAUGGGCAGUGCCGGUCCAGAGAUGGAUCUUCCCGCAAGGGGCUGCCGCACAGGUGCUGCAUGGCUGUCAUCAGCUCGUGUCGUGAGAUGUUGGGUUAAGUCCCGCAACGAGCGCAACCCUCGCCUUCAGUUGCCAUCAUUUGGUUGGGCACUCUGAAGGAACUGCCGGUGACAAGCCGGAGGAAGGUGGGGAUGACGUCAAGUCCUCAUGGCCCUUAUGUCCUGGGCUACACACGUGCUACAAUGGCGAUGACAGUGGGAGGCCAGGUCGCGAGGCCGAGCCGAUCCCCAAAAGUCGUCUCAGUUCGGAUUGCACUCUGCAACUCGAGUGCAUGAAGGUGGAAUCGCUAGUAAUCGCGGAUCAGCAUGCCGCGGUGAAUACGUUCCCGGGUCUUGUACACAC